GGGCGCAUGUGGCCAGGUGGCAGUAGCUGCGGCGGCUUCUUGGAGGUGAGCCCCAUGGAGUCCCAUCUGGAGGCGGAGGAUGUGGCGCAGGAGUUCGUGACCUUUCUGAACCAAGGGACCCCGCCAGACAUCCAGGCAAAGGCAGCCCGCUAUGUGCUGGGACUGACGGGGUCCGAACCUGGCCGGUCACUGCUGACAGCACAGAAAGGGCUGCUGCAGGCAUUAGCAAAACUCUUAGAGGCCCCUCCUGGGACAGCGGCAGGGGCGGUGGGAGAUGCCUGGCGGGCACUGGUGAACCUGUGUGCAGAACCCAGUAUCCACGGCUCUCUGCUGGCUGCACUGCCUGGGCUGCCAGUCCAGCUACUGGCCCGGGCACUAGCCCCAAACUGGCCCUGGGCUGGAGAGGCAGCCGCUGCGCUGGCCAACCUGAGCCGGGAGUCAGGGCCCGCCAGGGAGCUGUUGGCGGAGAGUAGCUUGGAGUCCACCAACGACGAGGCAAAUCAGGAACCCAGCCUGGCCCGCCUUGUGACUGCCUUGACCACCCCAGACUAUAACCCCCAUGCCCCACUCCACUACCUGGCAUCAGUGCUCUCCAACCUCAGCCAACUACCAGGAGCACGGGCCUUCUUGCUGGAUCCGAACAGGUGUCUGAUCCAGCAUCUCCUGCCCCUCAUCCACUGCCCAGACUCUGCUGUUCGAAGGAUGGGGGUGGUAGGCAUGCUGAGGAACUGCUGCUUUGAGCACCGUUCCCAUGAGUGGCUCCUGGGUCCCCAAGUAGAGCUGCUUACCUUCCUGCUGAUGCCACUGGCUGGCCCAGAGGAGUUCUCGGAAGACGAGAUGGAUCGAUUGCCAGUAGACCUGCAGUACCUGCCCCCAGACAAGGAGCGUGAGCCAGAUCCUGAUAUUCGAAGGAUGCUCAUUGAGACCAUUAUGCUGCUCACAGCCACUGCUCCUGGACGGCAGCUGGUGAAGGAUCAAGGGGCUUACCUGGUGCUUAGGGAGCUGCAUAGCUGGGAACGUGACCCUAACGUCCGGCUGGCCUGUGAGAAACUCAUUCAGGUGCUGAUUGGGGAUGAGCCAGAGGCAGGCAUGGAGAACCUGCUAGAAGUGAGUGUUCCCCCAGAUGUAGAGCAGAGGUUGCAGCAACUGGACCAGCAAGAGCAGCAGCAGCUUCAGCAGGAGCGAGAAGAGGCAGUGCAGAGCCCUAGCAGGCUGGAUGGCUUGGGACCUAGCUGAUGUCUUCUGCCCAGACUAGGGGCCCUGGACCCUCCCCAUCCCCCCUUGUCCCUUGAUCACAGGGAUCUUGUGACUGGUAGACACAGCCAGGUUACCUUGGGACAGGCUGGGCCGGAAGGCCAGACUCUGACGCAUGAGGUGCAGCAUUUUAUGGGGUUGUCUCUCCUUGAAGGGCAGCUUCCCUGUCACCAUGGCGUAGAGGAUCACGCCACUGUACAAGGACAGACCUGUCGUCACCAUCAUCCCAAUCCCCCUAUUUUUACAAAGCUUUUCUCGAAACAACCCUGUGAGGUAGGUAGUUGGAGCAGCAUUGCCCCUAAUUACAGAGGGGAAAAGUAAAACUGGGGAAAGCCAAGGGCUCUGAUGCUCAAGGGCACAUAGCUGGUGAGCCAGGGCCUGGAGGAGAACUUGGGGGGCGGGGCCCUCUACCUUCGCACCCACUUUGGCCAUACUGAUUUACAAAGGCUUUUCCUCACUGUGGUGACAUAGUCUUGCAGGUAUUUUACCAAGGUGCAGACAAGGUCAGUCACUUGCCCAAGGUCACACCACUAGGGUUGGAGCCAAAAUUUGAACCCAGAGUGCCUGAGUGGGCCAGAUGACUUCUAAGAUCCAGUCCUGAGUCUGCUGUCCUAUGAAUGGGUUCUUUCUACUUCAUUCUUCACACUCCCCCAACCCCCCCACCCCGUCUCCCUCAGUCCUACUAGAGCCACUUCCUUGCCCCUUCCUGGUGCUCACUCCCCAGCCAUGCCCCCACCCCCACCUCAAGCCAUAGAGGUUAUUCUGUUCUUUGUUGAGAGGCCUUGCCCCUUACCCUGUUCCCACUGAGUUCCUUGCUACGUUGGCUACUAUUUUUUCACCUGGAGCUCAUUCUCCUGCACUCUGGAUUCCUCGAGGACCCACAGUCCUAUUUUUGGUGAGACUUGCUUCCCUGCUCCCUGUUCAUUUCCCAGGGCUCCCUAUGGCUUUGAAGUUUGCUCGCCGGCUCCUUGCCCUCCUCCCCUGGAGCUGCCUGUGAUCUUGGGGCUCUCCUGCCCUGGGGCCCCCGCUGCUUUGUCACUCACAGGCUCCACAGGUCGGCCUGUUCACCAUUGUACUUCUUGCUCAUGAGGAUCUCAGGGGCUGUGUAGGCCACAGAGCCACAGAAUGUGCUCAGCAGAGAAUUCUUCACUGCGGUCCGAUUGGCAAAGCCGAAGUCUGAGGGGGCAGGGGCAGAGAGGAGGGUUUGGUGAAGAUGACUCUGUACAAUGAGGACAUCUCGGGGAUGAGGAUUGGGAACAGAGGAGAGGCUGAAAAGGGGUUGCUUCACGGGGAGACAAAUCUUCCUUGCCCUUCCCCGACAUUUGUCUGUGUCAGAGACUCUGCCUUUGUGUGUCCUCGGCUGCCUUGUUAAGGCCCAGGCACCCCUUGUCCGAAUAUGUUUUUAAAUUCAUAAAAUAAAAUACAAAGGAAAC